AGGUUUACACAAAACCCAUCUCAGGAAACAAGUGUCUGGCUUUAGUUACUUAUUAACUGAGUGGCCACCUCUUUAAACAAAAUUCACUAAUGAUUUCUGUGAUGACACAUCAUUCAUUGGGCCAACAAGAUAGAAAAGACAGCGUCUCUGACCACGGAAGGGACAUGACAGAAAUGCUGUCAUGAUAUUUAUAUUCCACCUACUCGAAAGACCAAUUGAGAAACUCCAUAUGGACUCCAGUUUGCCACUAGCCCACAGAAUUGAAGUUUCUUAGCUGGCUUAAAUUAAGAAUUUUGGCUUUAUUAACAUAUUUAUUAAUAUACAGUACAUUACACACACUCAAUGUGUACAAUUUGAUGAUGGACAUAUUCAUACACCUGUGAAACCACCACCAGAAAUCAAGAGAGCAGCCCUGAUAUGUUGUGGGAAAUGACCAAAGAAAAACUCUUACAUGUUACACCAGGAAAGAUCUGUUUCUGAACUGUUGAAAUGAGUCUUUAAGGCCAACUUCAAAAAUUGUAUCUGUUAUGACUCCCCUGGAAUGGGACCUGUGAGUGAGAUGCUGGUGCUUGUGGCAUCUCAGGGACUGGUGCCCUUAUGAGAAGACAAUGAGACACCAGAGCCUUCUGUCUGCCAUGUGAGAACACAGUGAGAAGGUGGCCAUUUGCAAACCAGGAAAAGAUCCCUCACCAGAACCUGACCAGGCUGGCACCCCGACCUCAGACUUCUAUUCUCCAGAACUGUGAGAAAAUAAAUUUCCAUCAUUUAAACCACCCAGUCUACAGUAUUUUGCUAUGACAGCCAAAGAAUACAGGCCCUCAAGCAAACUAACUAAAAUAGUAUCUAUUAUUAACAUUUUGGUAAAUAUGUAUAAAGAAGUAAGAAAUGUUUUAUAAGAAUUUUUUAAUUUUUAUAAUUUUAUGACUGUGAAUAAAAACAUCUUUAAAAAUUGACUCAUUUUUAUUGAUCUGUAAUAAACAUUCUAAGAAAACUGGUGUUCAUGCUAUGCAACCCUAGCUUCAAAAGACUUACUCUUGCCUCCUGCCAAUAAGAUUAUUGCUCUGAAAUUUCUCCUAAUAACAGAAAAUCCCAGAAUUACCACUCUUCAAGUUCCAACAUAAAUGCUGCUGCUUCUCUUAAAUUUUUCACAUUCUCUGCUCUAGUCUCCCUCUUCUGCACUACCACAGUACUUAAUUUAAAUAUGUAAUUUAUCAUAUUUCACCUUGUAAUUUCCUUGACUUUUGCAUAUGCCUGCUCCUCCACUAGGGGACAUAGAUCUUGAGAGCAAGGGUCAUGCUAUCCAUUUUAGAUUUCUCUAAUGUCCACCGUGAUGUUUUGUCAGUAGUGAGUAUAUAUUGGUAGAUGUGUGAAAGAAUGAAUUAAUUAUUGAAUGAAUGGACGGAUAAAUGAAGAAACUGACUAUUUAUUUAUUUAUUUAUUUACCAUUUUGUCUCAUGUAUCUUCAUAGCAUCUGUGAGAAUUGCCUUUUCACCAUCAUGCCUCCCCUUGAUGGCGCACUUAUGAAAGAAAAAGUGUUAAUAAAAAGAGAAAUGG